CUGCUGCCGGCCGAGGCAGGCCCGGCGCUGCCCACGCUGGGAACGCCUGCGAACGUGCGGGUUUCUGCUGUUUAAACACGCGGGGAGCAGCGCCGCUGCGCCCCUCUCAGCAGUGCAUGUCCUUCUCCAAGCGCUGUCCUGAGGCCUAAGGGAGUCUUAAGGAAAUUUUGGAAUUUUUAUUGUGAGUGUUACCUUAGGACAUUAAAGGUUCUUCCUUCCAAAUGUAUUUUUCUAUCAGAAGCACAAACUCAGCAACAUACAGCUUUCCCUGAUGCUGUGGUUGAAUCCAAUAACAAAGAGUAAGCAUGGUUUAUUUGUUCUUUUUUUUCUCUUGACUGGAACUUUUACUUACUAUUUAUCCGUUUGUUUACUCUAUAUUUUGUUGUUAUAAAAGAUUUUGAGCUCCUGGGGGAAAUAAUGUUUUACUUUGACCCUGCAAGGUGUUUGUGUUGAAUUAGUGCAUUUUUUUAAUGCAAUUCAUUUUUGUGUAGCUGUUGUCUGAAUUGUGUUUCAGGAAACAAAUUCACUCUUGUUUUUAACUUUUAAU